rnacentral:sRNA from 1 species
UCCUCGAUCUGCUGCGGCGAGAUGAAAUGGAUGUGCGCGUCGAUGCCGCCCGCGGUGACGAUCAUGCCCUCGCCCGCGAUCGCCUCGGUGCCGGCGCCGAUCGGGAUGGUAAUCGCGGGCUGGAUGUCGGGAUUGCCCGCUUUCCCGAUCUUCCAGAUCUUCCCAUCCUUCAAGCCGAUGUCCGCCUUGACGAUGCCCCAGUGGUCCACGAUCAGCGCGUUGGUGAUCACGGUGUCGGCGACCUUCGCCGAGACCAGCUGGCUCUGUCCCAUCCCGUCGCGGA